GGUGAACUUCAAUCACCAAAGGCUUAUUUCCAUGGUUGUCGGUGAUACCAUUAAUGGGAUUGCCUUGUUACAUGUUCAUGAAAAUAAGCCUUUGGUGAUUGAAGUUCACCAAACAAUAACUCAAUUGUAUUGGUAAUAAAUAUCUCCUUUAUCUAUAAUUAAAUAAGUAUAACGACAUCCUGUAAUAUGGAAAAUUGCCACAUCAAUUUCACAUCUCCCAUACCAAUAUUCUAAAGCAAUGACAAAAUCUUUCAUUCACUUGUAUUACCUCAACUUUAGUCAAACAUAUUGGGAAGUGGUCGAACAGCCAUAAAUGCGUCCACCAUUUCAUCAGUUACAGCUGAUCGUGCCAAACGAUGUCUUUCCACCAAUUCAGUCAAAACCUCAGCAAGGCGCUUCUUCACUUCUCCUGUUAGCAUGCGUCCCGCAGCAUACUCCUUUUUUAUGUGUUCAAGCUCAUCAUCAUCCUCCAAGAAAAAAUUUAAAUAUUUUAUUGGUAUAUCAACCUCAAGAUUUGCUCCAUAUUUUCGGUGUUUCUCUAAAGAAUCUUGCCCACCAGAAAAAGCAUGCUUGUUUAUCUUGUUCUUGAU
rnacentral:misc_RNA from 1 species